UCAUGACAGAAUAAUGUUGAUAAUUACAUCAACUUAAUAAUGUAUGGAAUUUAAACAUAUAUAUAUGUGUUGAUUAGUUUAAAACAAUAUUUAUGUUGUAGCAACCCAAUGAAAUUGGCUUGAUAACUUAAUUUUUCCACACCAUUUGAGUUCAGGAUUUCAAAGCUCCUCCCCCACUUAACGAGCAAGGAGCAAGUUCAGACAUGUUUCAGGCUGACCAGUAUGACACAAAGGACAUUUCAAGAAGCCGAAAACAUACUCCUCACUCAUUGAUGGACUUCAAGGAAGACAUAAUAAAAAGAACACACAAGAGUUUGAGGAAGACAUUGAAAGGCAAGUGAUGACAAUUGCCUUCAUCGGUGAUCAACCUACUUCAGGAUUUGACCACAAGACGGCAACCAUUGUGGUUGAGGGCAUCAAAAUCCUGAAUGGAAUGGAUAUCUCAAGGUGCUGUGCUCUGCUGAUGGGCAUAAUAUAUGCUCUGAAUCUGAGUUACCCCAAGGAACUUAAAUAUACCUGUGAAGUGUUUCAGAAGCUGUUUCUUGAACUUGAUGGACUGAAACCCAG
ensembl:lncRNA